UCCCACAGGAGUGAGAGUUCAGAGCCUCCCAUCAGGCUCCCCAGCCCGGCGGUCCAGCACCAGGAAGAUGCGCCCUCAGAGCAUUUGGCUUUGAGGCCUAGCAGGCCUUUAUUGCAGGAGCUCCCAGGACUGAGGAAAACAGAGGCUUCACUCUUAGAGGACGUAAACAAAAUCUCACACAGAAGCGGUAAUUUGAUAAGAGCGUGGGCCAGCCCUACCUGCGGGUCUUGGAGAGGCUCCUGGAGAGGUGGUAAGGGGUCGCCUGCAGCUCCUUCCAGAAACACAGACACUGGCGGCAGCCAUGUUUGGGAGCUCCUUCUCGCGAGAACUGCGGACUGGUAGGUGGAGCUUUAACAACAGGGAGGAGUUGCUGGAUGGUUUAUCUCAGGGGAGCCGCAGGACAAGUAGAUCUCUGCACCCACCCACCAGAAUCUUAAAAGAUCAAAGACUGAACUGCUGCUGCUAAGUCACUUCAGUCGUGUCCAACUCUGUGCGACCCCAUAGACGGCAGCCCACCAGGCUCCUCCAUCCCUGGGAUUCUCCAGUGAAGUGGCCAGGGUCUCCCGUGUCUCCGUACACCUGCUGGAUUGCUACCUUCAUGGAACAAAAACAACGUUGGUUUUGUAAUGAACCACCAGCUCAUUUACUGGAAUCAGAACUUCUGAAUCAGCCUUGUGAUGCACUCCUUUAUAAACUUCACAAGGCUUGCAAAGUAUUUCUGCUUCAAGGCUCCCAGAAAUGUCUGGCC
ensembl:lncRNA